UGAGAGAUAUUGUAGUGAGGUGGAAAAAGCAAAAGAGUGUUUAUUUCUUUUGAGGGUGUAGUGGUCUUAGGAGUAUUUAUACUCGUUACUACACAGUGUGUAAAAUUCCUCACUAUAGUGAUAUCAGUUGCUCUUCUUGGCCGUGGUUUUUUCCCUUAUUCAGAAGGGUUUCCACGUAAAAAUCUUGGUGUCAUUAUUGCUGCAUUUCUAUUCUUGCUGAUUUAAUCAUAACUUAGUGUUCUGCAUUUAUCACUAAUACCGUGAAUACUAUUUAUACGGGGUUUAUUCCCAACAUUCCAUUUUAGAACCAAGGUUGUGGUGAUUAUACGUGUUCAAGCGAAAUAGAUGCAUAAGAGAGUAUGGAUAUACUGUCCCAAUACUAGAUAGGUAUCCAACAAUGAGUGACUCAUAAUCAGUUGCUUUUAACCGAGUACUUGCAUGAUAGUAGAUUACUAACUAGAGAUACAGAUCUUGUCGUUUUAGGCUUGAUGUGGAUGCUGGUGUCGUGCUCUAUGAGGUUAGUGAAUAUGGUAAGUCACAUUUUUUGGGUCCAAAUUUGAUUUAGCAAGGCAUGGAUGAUGUUGCAUAGAGUAGUGGGGUGGUUUCAAAUAUUAUAGAGUAGACACAACUCUUAUGUUGACAAAUAAGAUCGUAAUUUGGAGUUCAUAAAAUGUGAAAAGUUUUUUUUGAAGAGUUUCUUAGGUAAGGAGUUAUGAGAUUUGGAUCAGAAUGGAUUAAUAGCAUGUAAACUUAUUUUGCCAUCGGGACAUUGAGUUGUACACUUUGUAUUUUAUGCAUUCAUGGUGAGAGGCAUAUGAUUCAGCCAAAGAUCCGAAACUAGGUGAAAAUUUUGACAUAAGAAGGAAGUUCUGUAACUAUUAUUGAUGGACAAGUACGAUAGUUAAAGUGGAACAAGGUUGCUUAUGUAGGAGUGUUAUACUGAACAUCCAAUAGAGGAGGAGUCUGAGGCACACAUGCAGAGUAAGUACAUGCAGUUGUUAAAAAUGUCGGAUAUACUUUGUAACACGUUCAAGGACGAAUGCUUAUUUAAGUGGGAGAGAGUGUAACAUCUCGUAAAUUUUCGUGAUUCAUUUUAGAACUAUAAAAUUCUACUUGCUCGACUUAAUCAGAUACACUCGUUGGAAAUAGUGAAAUUUAUGAAAAUAAUAUUACGAAUAUUUAUAAGUGAGUUUAAGUUGUUUAAAAAAAACUUGAGUUAUUGCUUAAUUAAUUUUUUUUAUUAGUGUAUACAACUAGAGAAUUAACAAUUGUUUAUUUUACAUCUGAGUGUAUAGAUGUCUAUUUAUAUUUUCUUGAAAUUAAAAUUUAUAUAUUGAGGGAUAGGAAAAAAAAUGUCUCUAUAAGUGGCUAGUGGGCUUAAUUUAUAAAUGGUGCAUAUUAGUGAGUCAGAAAUUAAUUUUGAAUAAUAAAUAAUAGUGAAGUAGUAUAGGCCCAUAUCGUUUUUGUUUGUUUGUUGAGUACGUGUUAACUAAUGAAGACCUAGGGCAUAAAAUAAGAGUAAAUAAUGUCUUAGUUCUUGAAGAGAGUAAAACACACAUAAAGAAAAAUUGCCGCAAGAGGACGUCUGGUUUUGAUCAAGAAAAAAGUUUAAAAAAAAGACAAAAGAAAGCAAGUUAAGGACGUUUGGUUUUUCCCAGGUAUUAAUUGUGGUAUAUAGCUUUUGAAUUGAUUGUGGUCGGUGGUAUAGAAUAUAUGAAUCAGUGGUUAUGCCAUAAUUAGUAGACAUUAGUUAUAUAAUGAUGGUGGUAAUGAUGAUGUAAAAAUUGGGGAAUUAAAUUAAGUAUAAGUAUAAGUUUAAGUGUACUAUGUUAUGGAAGAAUAUUUUAUUACUGGUUCGGCUUCCGCUAUAUAGUUUAGAGGACAUGAUGAUUGAGUAAUAAUGGAAAACUUAAUAUUAUGGACAAAGCUUUGUAAUAUUGCAUUUUGGAGUCAAAUAAUUUGCACAGGGAAUUCGUGGGGAUCUAUACUUAGUGUCAGUUUAGUUACAUUACACAUUCAUGUAAUUGGAAUUGAAUAAUUCAACUCAUGUACAACUACAGCUGUAUUAACGAGCCAUGGAGUCCAGUAUGCUCAGGAAUCUUUCGAGUUUAUUGAGUUUUACAUACGCGAGUGUUUAAGGGAUUAGUUGAAUUGUUAGUGAAUCACGCAUUGAAUUUGGUAUGAUAUAAAUAUGAGAUAACUCUGACUAGCAUAAUUGACAUCGUUAAUUAAUAUUUCGCAUAGAUUGAGGUCAUUGGAGGCCGUUUGAUCGGUGUUCUAGAAGUCGCAAGGUUGGAAAAUUUCUCGUUAGCCAGGUAAGUGAGACUUUAAGCUUUGAUACUUGCUUUUCUAAAGCCCGUUUUAAAAAUAUAUUUUCUCUGCCUGAUCCAUGUGUUGGGACAAGCGUGCACUUGGCAGAGACGGUGAUCUUAGACUAGCCGUAAAUAUAUUAUUUUAUGAAAAAAAAAAGUAUUAUUUUAUAAGUUGUUUGAUAGUGUGAUACGGUUGUGCGCCAUGAGGUUGAGUUUUAUAGUUUGAUACGGUUGUGCACCAUGAUAUUGAGUUUGAUACGUUGUGCGCCAUAUUGUUGAGUUUGAUACACCUGUGCGCCAUGAUGUUGAGUUUGAUACGACUGUGCGCCAUGAUGUUGUGUUUGAUACGGUUGUGCGCCAUGAUGUUGGGGCAUUGUGUAUGCCUUUGUACAUCACCCGAGCAUUGUGCAGCUCUGUUACAUAUUUAAGGCAUUGUGGUGCCGUUGUGGACUCCUGGUGUGUUGGUAAAUUUCUUUCACUGCAAUUAUGAUAAGUCCUUAGUGGAUAUCUUUGUUGGUUAAUUCUUAAUAACUCCGUUGAUACCCGUAUAUUGAGCUAUUGUAUAAUUAUCAUAUUUACUAUAUCAUAAUGUGUUUGUAUUUUCUAACACUUGUUCCAGAGGUAGUUAAAAUGGCGGGUAGAGGAUCUUACUGGGUUAUAUUUACGUAUAACUUACUCCUUAUUUGCAUCUCUAUGCAGAUACCAUUGCAGGAGAUAGAGCUAGUGGCUGACGAGUUUGUUCAAGUGGAUCCUAUUACUGAGUGGGUUUUUAAGGGGUGAAUCUAACAUCCCACAUAUCCCGCAUCAGAACAUAAAUGUAUGGGUCGAAAUCUUACCACACGUGGAUCGGCAUUAAAAGGAAUGGCGAAGGGUCGACUAAGUCGUGGUCGUAUUCAUAAGAUAUCAUAACAACAAGUAUCUCGGCCGCUGUCGGGAUCGAACUAUCAGAAAGCCUAUACGGUGAAGCAUAUGUCAUACCGCUUAAGGGGAACGACCCAAUGUACAAUCAACAGAUUAAUGUAUUCUGGCUAAGAACCGUUGGGUAAAAGAGAAUACUUACUAUAUAUACGGAGGGAAGAGAACAAGAAUGGGGGGGCUCUCUCCUUGAGGAAAAAGAGACAGAAGAACCGGAAAAGGCUGCGGGAGAAAAACAAGAGAAGUUUCAGAUCUCAGCGACAGAUCUUUGUAAUCAUAUAUCUUGAAUCAAUAAAGAUAGAUCCCGUAGCUGUUAAUGACAUUCUUUCUUUUUCUCCUUUAUUCUUACAUUACGGAACAGUAGAUCAAGAAUGCAAGCAUGUCAUUUGUGUUCGAUAUCUUUUAUAAAUCUUAAAAGUUCAUGAGCUUGACUA